rnacentral:rRNA from 1 species
CGACGCAACGCGAAGAACCUUACCAGGGCUUGACAUCCCUGACCGCGUAUGAAGUACGUUUCACCUCGGGUGACAGGGAGACAGGUGGUGCAUGGUUGUCGUCAGCUCGUGUCGUGAGAUGUUGGGUUAAGUCCCGCAACGAGCGCAACCCCUGUGUACCCUGUUGCCAGCAUUAAGUUGGGGACUCAUACGAGACUGCCGGCGUCAAGCCGGAGGAAGGUGGGGACGACGUCAAGUCAUCAUGCCCCUUAUGUCCUGGGCUGCACACGUGCUACAAUGGUCGGUACAAUGGGCUGCGAUGCCGCGAGGCGGAGCGAAUCCCAUAAAACCGGCCCCAGUUCGGAUCGGAGGCUGCAACUCGCCUCCGUGAAGUCGGAGUUGCUAGUAAUCGCGGAUCAGCACGCCGCGGUGAAUACGUUCCCGGGCCUU